rnacentral:lncRNA from 11 species
UGUGGCCACCUUCUGACACCUGAGCAGGUGCCUCCUUCAGCCCAUUGGUUGGCCUUCUUCUCCGCCAUAGAUGCCCCUCUUGAAGGAGGAGACAAGGAGGCUCCUCGGGAUCAAGAUGGACAAAAAACGCCGGCCCCAAUCUGCCCACAGAGUGGAGGAGGAGGACUUGACCACCGCCGUAGAGCACAGUUCGGAGCAGGUCAUUAAUCCCCCGCGGAAGAAGAAGAAGAAGCGCUCCCGGAAACGGAGGCGCCGGCUCAAAAAGCCUUGCGCUCUCCGAUGGCAGCCGGCCAGCCCACAGCUCCAAGUGCGAGGCCGCAAGUGUGCCGUGCAAGCCUUCAUUUACAAGAGGUAGAACGGAAGAGAAGUCCCUUCUCGGCUUGAAUACCGUAUUUACUUGAAUCUAGUGCUCACCUUUUGGGGCUAA